GUAAAGGCAGCAGCCCGGCCUUGAAGCCGGAUCUCGCGAUGUUUCAGGGCGGCUUUGGUGUCAUCAAAUGUGAGAAGCCCUGGACUUUACACAUCCCGAGCCAGUGUGAUCCAGUAUGAUUGGGAGUCCGAGUGCCAGAUGCCGGUCAGGACCUGUUAUGCUGGGUCUCAGAAUGCGGAAACUCUCCCUGUCCGAGGUGGAACAGUUUGUCCUUGAGUGAGGACUGGAGUCCUGAGUGACUCUUUUGAUUUGAUCCUGUUUCCCUCAAACCUGAGAUGGGAGCCUCACUGUAUUGCCCAGGCUGGUCUUGAACUCCGGAGCUCAAGUGAUCGUCUUGCUUCAGCCUUGCAAAAUGAUGGUGAAGCUGCAUCAUUGUCUGGGAUGGAGUCCCUGUCUGACCGGGCCAUGUUGUAUGUUCCUUGCUGUACACGUGGUUGACAAAGAAAAGGGAAGAUGGAGCUGCGAUGUUGGACAUGCCUGGCCCCCAGGACAUACAGCCCUGCCGAGCAAAUAAUGAACGUAACUCACAAACUUCCUGCUUAUCAUCAAACGCACGCAUCCACUUAUCAUCAAACACCUCGGGUGACAGAAGAAUGCAGGUCAGCUCCCUGCUGCCUUGGCAUUAUCAAUCAGCCCAGGAACCAUCCUAUAAAAUCUCCAGCAAGCCUUUGUUUCCUUGCAGUCAGCUCCUCUUCCACUGAUUCUGCCUGUUGCUCCCUGAUAACAUACUUUGAUACUGUCUUUAAUAAAUCUGCCUUUCUUCACCCACAGCUGUCUUGGUAAGUUCUUUUACCUCUGUGCCACCAGCCCAAACAGUUGCUGCUCACCUGAAACAAAGAAUAAAUGUGGUUUUUAAGCAAAUCAAAGUUUACUUAGUGACUCUUACCAAGCUUUGUAGAAGGUUGUGCCAAAAGGAGAAGCUUAAGAGAUAACGGCUAAAAAUAAAAAAUGUUACCACCGCCCAAGGGGUUCUUCCUGCCCACUGCAUAAAGAAAGACCAUGGCAUUGUAGUAGAGAAAGAGGUUAAUAGACAUGAGGCUGGCCACGCCACAUGGGAAAUGGAGUUCGUACUCAAAUCAUCUAAUCCAAAGCUCUUAUCUUAGAGGUUUUUCAAAGUCACUUUGGGGGAAGGGGUGGGAGUGGCCAGAUAACAGGUGCUUGCUGCUGAUUCGUUGGGCUGGAGAUGAAAUCAUAGGGGGUCAAAGCUCUCCUUGUGUGGGGUGAAUUGCUUCUGGGUGGUGCCACAGGAACUGGGUUGGUUAGUCCAAGUGGAACCAUCAGGUCCAGGUGGAGCCAUGGGUGUCAGACAUGAAAAAACCUGAAAAGAUAUCUCAAAAGGCCAAUCUGAGGUUCUACAGUAGUGAUGUCAUUUGUAGUAGUAAUUGGGAAAGUUGCAUAUCCUAUAACCUUUGGAAUAAUGGCUGACAGUUGAAUAAUGCUGCCACCUUAGCAGGACCCAGACUCCUCUCCUCCCAGACUGAUGGCCUCCCAUUAGCUUUACAAAAACAAUUGAGUUUUGGGCAAAGCCUGUUAUUUAAACUAUAGCGUAAAUGUCUUCCAAAGUUAGCUCAGCCCUAUAGCCCAGGAAUAAUUAAGGGAAAGGCAAGAUAGGUGGGUUAGCUCAGUUUACUAUAAUAAUUUUUCUCACUGAUACAGUUUUUGCAAAGGUGGUUUCAUAAAGAUGCCUACUCUCUUCACACAUUUGUGAAAUGUCGAAAAGACUGCAAAAACCUGGACGUUUACUGAUGCCUUAUUUUAAACAAGGCUUGUCUGGUUUGAAAAAGUGAGGGGAAGCUAUCAAUCAUAAUUUUGUUAAAUACAGUGAGUUCUAAGUUUCUCCUCAAAGAAUCUGUGUCAGUAUGUUCAGUUCUUUGUUUUCCAUUUUAAAGUUUAACUUCCUCAUUCUCUUCAUCUCCUUGCCCCUAGUUUCAGUAAACAACCUCCCUGCCAGUUCUGAUCAGUAGUUCACAUCUGUUCUCCUGGUCACUUGCUCCAUCCUGAGACCCCUGGUCACCCGCUCUAACCUAAGUCACCUUUAGUCACCUAUUCCGUAACCGUCUUUCCUGCCACAACUGCUCACCCCACCACUGUAGCUCUUAACCCCUGCUGUCUUUAAAAUAGCCAAUCGGAAUUAGCUUAGACUGUGCAGUCCAACCCUAGCCAAUAGGGGAACGAUGCAACAGUAGGGGCUACCUGUGUCAGGGAUAAGAACCCCUUCCCCUCCCUUGUUCAGGUGUGCUCUCACCAUUGUUCCAUCCACAAGAUGCACCCUUCUGUAGAAGUAAAAUUGCCUUGCUGAGAAAAUUUCUGUUCGAAUGCUAUUUCUUUUGUGGCACCGAAAAUUUAUUUCUAACAAUUUCAACACUCAAACACAACCCAACUACAAUUUUUGUGGAUUAUGUUCCUUUUACUUUUUAGGAACAGUUUUCCAAUGUUGCAGUCAUAAUGCAAUUUUAUCAGCUUUGUUCCUCCUUUAAGAAACCUUAAUACAAGAAGUAUUUUUACAUGUUGCUUCAUUGCCAUGCAAUUAUUCGUUUAAAAAGUUGUAUAGUUUUCAAUCAGAUAGAUGUGAAAGGAAAAUAAAUCCCAGGACUCCGGUUGGGCACAGUGGCUCAUGCCUGUGAUUCCAGCACUUUGGGAGGCCGAGGCGGGUGGAUCACGAGGUCAGGAGAUCGAGACCAGCCUGGCCAACAUGGUAAACCCCGUCUCUACUAAAGAUUAAAAAAAAAAAAUUAAGUGGGUGUGGUGGUGUGCACCUGUAAUACCAGCUACUCUACUCGGGAGGCUGAGGCAGGAGAAUAGCUUGAACCCGGGAGGCGGAGGCUGCAGUGAGCAGAGAUCACACCAUUGCACUCCAGCCUGGGCAACAGGGCGAGACUCUGUCUCAAAAAAAAAAAAAAAAUCUAAGGACUCCAAAAUCACUAAGCCAAGGGAAAGUCAAGCUGGGAACUAUGUCAGGCAAGGCUGCCUCUCAUUUGAUUCCUAAAUACAAUAGCUAUAAAGAUUAAAAGCUACAUACCUCCCUCACAAUUUGCCCACAAGGAAAUUCCUUUUGGACAAAGGACAGAAAGAAUUCAAAGUCAUCCCUCUGAGGCUCACCUGAGAGAAAUGCAUAUCUGAUUGCUUCCUUGGACCUAGUGUUUAUGUAAAAAUGCAAAUUCACAGAGCCAGACUAAAUUGUGUAUUCAGUGGAAAGCUAAUCAAUAACUCAAAAGAAUGCAACCUUUUGUCCCACAUCUAUUUAUGACCUGGAAGCCUCCACCUCAGAUUUUUCCACCUUACCUGACUGAACCACUGUACAUCUUACACAUAGUGAUUGAUGUCUCAUAUCUCCCUAAGAUGUAUAAAAGCAAGCUGUACCCCAACCACCUUGGGCACAUGUCAUCAGAACGUCCUGAGACUGUCAGUGCUUCCCUAACCAUGGGAAAAUAAACUUUCCAAAUCGAUUGAGACCUGUCUCCAAUACCUUUUGGUUUACAACAUACUGUUAUUUAUUUGACCAUUCUUCUACUUGUAGCUGUGGAGUCCUGAUAAGUAAGCAACAAUGAGGAAGGGGCCCCAGUGGGGAAGUACAAUGAACAGUUGUCCUGAGAAAUGGCUAAUCAAACAACAGCUCUCUCCAGGAUGACCCUAUAAAACUUCCUUCCAGCUCCUGCCUCUUUGCAGACAGCUCCUUCUCUCCUGUGCUGCCAGUUGCAACCUUGCAAUGUAUUUUCAUACGUUCUCUAAUAAAUCUGCCUUUCUUUAGGACUGUCCUGGUAAAUAUGAGACUGUUUUCUUUACCGCCUUUGAUACAAGCCCUAUCUAGUUGCUACCCAUGACAGUAGGUAUAUUGUUUAUGUUCAACAUUUUAUUAUAAACAAUGUUUCAGCUGGGCUCGGUGGCUCAUGCCUGUAAUCCCAGCACUUUGGGAGGCUGAGGCAGACAGAUCAGGAGGUCAGGAGAUUGAGACCAUCCUGGCUAACAGGUGAAACCCCGUCUCUACUAAAAAUACAAAAAAAUUAGCCAGGCGUGGUGGCACGUGCCUGUAGUCCCAGCUACUCGGGAGGCUGAGGCAGGAGAAUGGCAUGAACCUGGGAGGUGGAGCUUGCAGUGAGCUGAGAUUGCGCCACUGCA
rnacentral:lncRNA from 1 species